rnacentral:rRNA from 1 species
AUUGAACGCUGGCGGCAGGCCUAACACAUGCAAGUCGAGCGAGCGGCGGACGGGUGAGUAAUGUAUGGGGACUGCCCGAUAGAGGGGGAUAACUCCUGGAAACGGUAGCUAAUACCGCAUACUAUCGGAUAACCCCUAUGGGAUUAGCUAGUAGGUGAGGUAAUGGCUCACCUAGGCGACGAUCCCUAGCUGGUCUGAGAGGAUGAUCAGCCACACGGGGACUGAGAAACGGCCCAGACUCCUACGGAGGCAGCAGGGGGAAUAUUGCGAAAUUGGCGCAAGCCUGAUGCAGCCAUGCAGCGUGUAUGAAGAAGGCCCUAGGGUUGUAAAGUACUUUAAGUCGGGAGGCGGGACCGAGAGAAGAAGCACCGGCUAACUCCGUGCCAGCAGCCGCGGUAAUAC